GGAGGGGUGGCCGAGUUGGCCUAAGGCGGCACCCUGCUAAGGUGUUACUCGGGCAACCGGGUCGCGGGUUCGAAUCCCGCCCCCUCCGCCA
rnacentral:tRNA from 1 species